ensembl:lncRNA
AGUCCUCAGCAGUCCAAUCCCUGUACCUUUUACAGAAUAUAAGUCUGUCCCUGAUGUUUUUCCUGGAGAGAAAAUGACUUUACCCCAGUCCUCAGCAGUCCUCAGCAGUCCAAUCCCUGUACCUUUUACAGAAUAUCAGUCUGUCCCUGAUGUUUUUCCUGGAGAGAAAAUGACUUUACCCCAGUCCUCAGCAGUCCAACCCCUUCCUCAGCAGUCCUCAGCAAAUAUCAGUCUGUCCCUGAUGUUUUUCCUGGAGAGAAAAUGACUUUACCCCAGUCCUCAGCAGUCCAAUCCCUGUACCUUUUACAGAAUAUCAGUCUGUCCCUGAUGUUUUUCCUGGAGAGAAAAUGACUUUACCC